AAAGCGUGCGCAGGCGGUUUUGCAAGUCAGAUGUGAAAUCCCCGGGCUCAACCUGGGAACUGCAUUUGAAACUACAAGGCUAGAGUGUGUCAGAGGGGGGUAGAAUUCCACGUGUAGCAGUGAAAUGCGUAGAGAUGUGGAGGAAUACCGAUGGCGAAGGCAGCCCCCUGGGAUAACACUGACGCUCAUGCACGAAAGCGUGGGGAGCAAACAGGAUUAGAUACCCGAGU
rnacentral:rRNA from 1 species